rnacentral:rRNA from 1 species
AGAGUUUGAUCCUGGCUCAGGAUGAACGCUAGCGGCAGGCUUAAUACAUGCAAGUCGUGGGGCAGCAGGUCUGUAGCAAUACAGAUGCUGGCGACCGGCAAACGGGUGCGGAACACGUACAGAACCUUCCUUUAAGUGGGGAAUAGCCCAGGGAAACUUGGAUUAAUACCCCGUAACAUAAUGAAGUGGCAUCACUUUAUUAUUAUAGCAGCAAUGCGCUUGAAGAUGGCUGUGCGGCUGAUUAGGUAGUUGGCGGGGUAAUGGCCCACCAAGCCUACGAUCAGUAACUGGUGUGAGAGCACGACCAGUCACACGGGCACUGAGACACGGGCCCGACUCCUACGGGAGGCAGCAGUAAGGAAUAUUGGGCAAUGGACGCAAGUCUGACCCAGCCAUGCCGCGUGGAGGAUGAAGGUCCUCUGGAUUGUAAACUUCUUUUAUCUGGGAAGAAAUCUAUUUUUUCUAAAGUAGUUGACGGUACCAGAUGAAUAAGCACCGGCUAACUCCGUGCCAGCCGCCGCGGUAAUUC